rnacentral:rRNA from 1 species
UACAGAGGAGCCAAGCGUUGUCCGGAUUGACUGGGCGUAAAGCGCACGCAGGCGGAUGCGCGCGUGGGGUGUGAAAUCUGGCCGCUUAACGGCCAGGCGCCAUCCCAUACGGCGCGUCUGGAGUGAUGCAGAGGUCGGUGGAAUUGCCGGUGUAGUGGUGAAAUGCGUAGAGAUCGGCAGGAACACCCAGGGGGAAACCAGCCGACUGGGCAUCUACUGACGCUGAGGUGCGAGAGCGUGGGGAGCGAACAGG